UGGCUCAGUGGUAGAGCAUUUGCCUUGCAAGCAUGAGGCCCUGGGUUCGAUUCCUCAG
rnacentral:tRNA from 1 species